rnacentral:tRNA from 1 species
CCUGGUGGCUUAGAGGGUAAAGCAUCUGCCUGCAACGCGGGAGACCUGGGUUCAAUCCCUGGGUCAGGA